CCCCUCUCAGGGUUGCACCUGGAGAGUUUCCAGUACUCUACCAAUUUCGACUAUGGGAGGGAGACAUCAAGCAGAGGCCUACCCAUUCCAUUCCUAGCUUGGGCAGUGGCUAGCAAGUGGAAGGCAAUCCUGCUACAAGU